rnacentral:lncRNA from 1 species
UCUGAACCUUCUCAACAUCCUAUUCUUACUCAAGUUGAUAAUGUCGAUGAGCCUUUUGAGAGAGAGAGAGCACAUUUCUGGAUAUUGAAGAGAGAGUGGAUGAUGAUGACGACGACGAUGAGAUAAGCAUCUCUACCCAGCAACCAGAAAAAGCGGUUGGAAAAGAUCCUAUGGAGGUUCAAGGUACUGUUGGGAAGCGAGUGGAGAAGGAGCCAAAGAAACGCAAGAAAGCUGAUGUUGCAGGGAUGAUGGAGAGCUAUAUUGCCAUGAAGACCAAGCAAGCUAGAGAGGAAGCUGCAGCAAGGGAGAGAGCCAAGGCUGAUGUAGAUGAGUUUUCAAUCAAGAAAUGCAUCGCUGUGGCGAACGAAAUUGAAGAGCUAAC